CUGCUGCCUCCCGUAGGAGUUUGGGCCGUGUCUCAGUCCCAAUGUGGCCGUCCACCCUCUCAGGCCGGCUACUGAUCGUCGCCUUGGUGGGCCGUUACCCCGCCAACAAGCUAAUCAGACGCGGGUCCAUCUUACACCACCGGAGUUUUUCACACAAAUCCAUGCGGCUUCGUGCGCUUAUGCGGUAUUAGCACCUAUUUCUAAGUGUUAUCCCCCAGUCGUAAGGCAGGUUACCCACGCGUUACUCACCCGUCCGCCACUAAGUA
rnacentral:rRNA from 1 species